UAUACCGCGAAACUGCGAAUGGCUCAUUAAAUCAGUUAUCGUUUAUUUGAUAGUACCUUACUACAUGGAUAACCGUGGUAAUUCUAGAGCUAAUACAUGCUAAAAACCCCGACUUCGGAAGGGAUGUAUUUAUUAGAUAAAAAACCAAUGCCCUUCGGGGCUCUCUGGUGAUUCAUAAUAACUUCUCGAAUCGCACGGCCUUGCGCCGGCGAUGGUUCAUUCAAAUUUCUGCCCUAUCAACUUUCGAUGGUAGGGUAUUGGCUUACCAUGGUUUCAACGGGUAACGGAGGGUUAGGGUUCGAUUCCGGAGAAGGAGCCUGAGAAACGGCUACCACAUCCAAGGAAGGCAGCAGGCGCGCAAAUUACCCAAUCCCGACUCGGGGAGGUAGUGACAAUAAAUACUGAUACAGGGCUCUUUUGGGUCUUGUAAUUGGAAUGAGUACAAUUUAAAUCCCUUAACGAGGAACAAUUGGAGGGCAAGUCUGGUGCCAGCAGCCGCGGUAAUUCCAGCUCCAAUAGCGUAUAUUAAAGUUGUUGCAGUUAAAAAGCUCGUAGUUGAACCUUUGGCCUGGCUGGCCGGUCCGCCUCACCGCGUGCACUGUCCGGCCGGGCCUUUUCUUCUGGGGAACCGCAUGCCCUUCACUGGGUGUGUUGGGGACCAGGACUUUUACUUUGAAAAAAUUAGAGUGUUCAAAGCAGGCCUUUGCUCGAAUACUUUAGCAUGGAAUAAUAGAAUAGGACGUGCGGUUCUAUUUUGUUGGUUUCUAGGACCGCCGUAAUGAUUAAUAGGGACAGUCGGGGGCAUCGGUAUUCAAUGGUCAAAGGUGAAAUUCUUGGAUUUUUUGAAAACUAACUACUGCGAA
rnacentral:rRNA from 1 species